UACAGAGGGUGCAAGCGUUAUCCGGAUUCACUGGGUUUAAAGGGUGCGUAGGUGGGCAGGUAAGUCAGUGGUGAAAUCUCCGGGCUUAACCCGGAAACUGCCGUUGAUACUAUCUGUCUUGAAUAUAGUGGAGGUGAGCGGAAUAUGUCAUGUAGCGGUGAAAUGCUUAGAUAUGACAUAGAACAUCGAUUGCGAAGGCAGCUCGCUACGCUAUUAUUGACACUGAGGCACGAAAGCGCGGGGAUCAAACAGG
rnacentral:rRNA from 1 species